rnacentral:rRNA from 1 species
AGUGAACGCUGGCGGUAGGCCUAACACAUGCAAGUCGAACGGCAGCACAGUAAGGGCUUGCUCUUACGGGUGGCGAGUGGCGGACGGGUGAGGAAUACAUCGGAAUCUACUUUUUCGUGGGGGAUAACGUAGGGAAACUUACGCUAAUACCGCAUACGACCUACGGGUGAAAGCAGGGGAUCUUCGGACCUUGCGCGAUUGAAUGAGCCGAUGUCGGAUUAGCUUGUUGGCGGGGUAAAGGCCCACCAAGGCGACGAUCCGUAGCUGGUCUGAGAGGAUGAUCAGCCACACUGGAACUGAGACACGGUCCAGACUCCUACGGGAGGCAGCAGUGGGGAAUAUUGGACAAUGGGCGCAAGCCUGAUCCAGCCAUACCGCGUGGGUGAAGAAGGCCUUCGGGUUGUAAAGCCCUUUUGUUGGGAAAGAAAAGCAGCAGGUUAAUACCCCGCUGUUCUGACGGUACCCAAAGAAUAAGCACCGGCUAACUUCGUG